CGGCCGCGACCGGAGCCUGCGUGCCGACCGGCGUCCGGUCCCAAGCCGGCACCUCCGCGAGCUCCACGAUUGGCCGGCGACCCGAGAUUCAGCUGGGACCAUGAGGAGCAGCAAAGCCAUCAAUAGAGGUACUUCAGCAGGCGGAAACUCUGAGGCUCCGGUAAGAAAGAAGAAGCCGCUUGCUAAGAAACGAAACUGGCACUGGUACGGGUGGCCAACAAGGGUUAGACUCCAGGCUUCAGAUUCCACGUCAGCUUCAAACAACCCUGUGGCUCCCUCAAGUCGUCCGAAGAUCACGUUGGAUUCACCCGGAGAGUCUCCCCAUUUCAAGAUCUUUGAUUUAAACCACCUCUGUAAAGCCUUUCCUAUCUGGAUCUGAAGGCAUCAUCACUUAGCUUACUAUUUUGGAAGGCCCUUCCGUGGUUAUACUCAGCUCCUCACCUGGGGAAGCUUUAUCUGAUCGACUCCUGCCUCCUCCCUUAUGACUGGGAGCCAUGCCUCAUCUGCCACAAGACAUAACAAGAAUAUGACAUCAACGAACCAGAGAACAAGUUCUCAUCAGACACUGAAUCUGAUGGCUCUGUCUGUCUGUUAGAGAUGCGGAGCCUCGGGAAGCCCAGGCUGGCUUCAAGCUCCAUACACAGCUGAGGAUAACCUUGGGUUUCUGGUCUUGUCUCCACCGGAGUGCUGGGAUUACUGACAUAUGCCAACACACCUGGUCUGUGCCGAGCUUUCAUGGGAGAAACUGGACCAAUUGAGCCAUCGGCAAUUCU
rnacentral:lncRNA from 1 species